ensembl:lncRNA
CCAUUCUCUGUAAACCCUAGAGAUGGUUGUGCGUGAAAAUCCCAGUAGAUCAGCAGUUUCUGAAAUACUCAGACCAGCCCGUCUGGCACCAAAACCAUGCCACGUUCAAAGUCACUUAAAUCACCUUUCUCCCCCAUUCUGAUGCUCGGUUUGAACUGCAGCAGAUCGUCUUGACCAAGUCUACAUGCCUAAAUGCAUUGAGUUGCUGCCAUGUGAUUGGCUGAUUAAAAAUUUGCGUUAACGAGCAGUUGGACAGGUGUACCUAAUAAAGUGGCCGGUGAGUGUAUGUCAGCAUUGGCAAGAUGAUCGGCAUUUGUUUUGUCCAUGGAGGAGUGGGGCCCUAUGUCUUUUCUGCGAGACUGCUCUGCCAGCUCACAGGGGAGCUGGCAAGUAAUUUGAACAUACAGAUCCAACAGGCAUCAACAAUACUGGAGGUCCAUGCUGCUAUAGCCAGUGCGGCCUCAAAUCUGGCGCUAUUGGGGUCCCUGACAGUCAUCAGAAUGAUGUCAGACAGGGAUGAGGUUGUGAAGUCUGCUCUCAAAUUCUAUUUGGACAACAGACUACAUGUCCCUCUCCAACAGUGGAGAUGCUUUAUUGGUGGUGGAGGACACGGAGAACAGAGUGACGCUGAACCAGCUCCUCAUGUUCGUCACUGGGGCAGACGGAGUUCCUCCCCUGGGAUUCCCAGGAGAGCCAACUUUAAACUUUUUUGCACACUGGCACUGUUUUCCCGGAAGCAAACACGUGUGCACUGAUUCUAAAGUUGCCGCUUCACACCACCUUAGAAUCAUUCAAUGAUAUCAGGAAUCAUCCAGUCGAGUCCCCCUGUUUUGGGUAUGCUUAAUUUAAGCCAACACUUUUUUUUUUUUGCACGUUCUUGCUAAUGUUUUGUAUCUUCUUUAAAUAAACAAUGUUCCAGUUCUGCGUUUUUAUGCUUUGCCAGACCCUUAUUGGAUGACUACAAUCAAAGCUUUUGUUUGGCCGUCUGCCAAAAUAAUACAUGUUGGCUUACAACUAGUGACUCUACAAUGAAGUCUUCUAUCCGCCCAAUAAUGUUUUUCUUCUUUCUUGCCUUCUCAAAUUCAACAUUUGUAUGGUUAAUUAUCUGCUGUCAAAGCACAGAUUCUGUUGAAUGAUGGAUGCUUAAAAUGUACUUUGAAACACAGAUAAAUGCGGUUGUCAAUUCACAAAUGUUUUCUGUUUCAUCAAAGAAAUUCCAUUGUGAUCAUUUACAUUGUUACAUUGAUUUAUAUAUUAACUACAACUUUUGAAAAAGAAAGUGAAUAAUAUAGCCUAGAUAGAAAGCAAAUGUCAUAGGCCUGGG